rnacentral:rRNA from 1 species
GACGAACGCUGGCGGCGUGCUUAACACAUGCAAGUCGAACGCUGAAGCUUGGUGCUUGCACUGGGUGGAAGAGUGGCGAACGGGUGAGUAAUACGUGAGUAACCUGCCCUUGACUCUGGGAUAAGCCUGGGAAACUGGGUCUAAUACUGGAUACGACAUGUCACCGCAUGGUGGUGUGUGGAAAGGGUUUUACUGGUUUUGGAUGGGCUCACGGCCUAUCAGCUUGUUGGUGGGGUAAUGGCUCACCAAGGCGACGACGGGUAGCCGGCCUGAGAGGGUGACCGGCCACACUGGGACUGAGACACGGCCCAGACUCCUACGGGAGGCAGCAGUGGGGAAUAUUGCACAAUGGGCGGAAGCCUGAUGCAGCGACGCCGCGUGAGGGAUGACGGCCUUCGGGUUGUAAACCUCUUUCAGCACGGAAGAAGCGAAAGUGACGGUACGUGCAGAAGAAGCGCCGGCUAACUACGUG